UGGGGAAUCUUGCGCAAUGGGCGAAAGCCUGACGCAGCAACGCCGCGUGCGGGAUGAAGGCCUUCGGGUCGUAAACCGCUUUCAGUGGGGACGAAUCCAGACGGUACCCACAGAAGAAGCCCCGGCCAACUACGUGCCAGCAGCCGCGGUAACACGUAGGGGGCGAGCGUUGUCCGGAUUCAUUGGGCGUAAAGAGCUCGUAGGCGGCUCAGCAAGUCGGGUGUGAAAAACUCCAGGCUCAACCUGGAGACGCCACCCGAUACUGCUGUGGCUAGAGUCCAGUAGGGGAGCGUGGAAUUCCCGGUGUAGCGGUGAAAUGCGCAGAUAUCGGGAGGAACACCAGCGGCGAAGGCGGCGCUCUGGGCUGGAACUGACGCUGAGGAGCGAAAGCGUGGGGAGCAAACAGGAUUAGAUACC
rnacentral:rRNA from 1 species